CAGAGGAGAAGAAAGGAAAGAGGAAGUAACUUGUGGAAUGCUAAGAAAGAAUUAAUGGAUUGGCUUCAGUUGGGAAAGCUGCGCUCACCUGUUGGUGAGCAUGAGGACAUCAACUGGAUGAAGUAUAUGGCUGAACCAAGUCUGAGGACAGGAGGGAAACAGACAACUGUUGCAUUCCUGUCCACAGAGCCUCUCCCUGAAGAAGACUCAAUUAUGCGGCCAGCAUCCUAACCCUGGGCUGUAGUCACUUUCGAUCUCAUGAUUUUUCAUCACUUUUACCCAUGCCUGGUGACUGAACCAUCUAGAAACAAGCUUUGGGCAUUUGCCAUUGUAUAGGAAACAUAGCCAUAUCUACCCAGUUGGCAGAAGUAUCCCAUGACUAUCCCAGGAUGAGAGGGACCCUGGAAAUUCAUAGACUCUGAGACUGAUUAGGAAGCUAGGGUUGUGGAUGUCAUUGUUAUAAGCCAAAAGGAGAAAUAACCGUAUCUUAUGCAAAUCUAUCUCUUCUCUAUAAAAUCAACUCUACAGAAAUGCAUAGGCAACUAUAAUUGAGACCCAGAAAGUUGAAGAAAUAUUUUAACGGAAGCAGAAGGUAAGUAGGUGUUCCAUAUAAAAAAGAGAAACCCAGAUUAUUACUAUCAGAUACUUAAGUGUCCUGAGGAUGCUGAGCUGUGCCUCCUGUGUGGAGGCACACAGGAUUCCUCCCAAAAAUAAAAAGGGUCACCCUGAUCAGUAAACAUUGGUAACUGGUUCCUCAUCUUCCUGGGUAGUGGUAGAGGGAGUGGGAGAGGUGGUGAGAAGGCAGCUAGAAAGCCAAGGAGCUGAAAUUUUGGGCAGAAUUUUUGACAGUUUCUGUGUAAGGAGGCUUCAAAGUUGGAGACCAGGCCUGCUAAGGAUAGGGGCACACUAGUAAAUCCCCAAUAUUUAACAGUGGAAGCCAAGAGGGCUAUACCAUACCAAGAGAAAGGUGGAUUUAAAAUAGGCCAUUAACAUUUCCCAUGGUGGAAGCCCUGUUUCACAUCUUAAUCUCUGAAAUUGGGUUAAAGUGAUCCAGGAUUGCUAAUGCUCCAGUCACCUACCAGAAGCAAAUGUAAAUCGCCUCUGAAGGAAGGCAGCAUAAUCUCAGACCUCAACUUAUUUUAAAAUUUUUUCUUAUACAACCAUCCAGCACUCCAUUAAAAAAAACCCAAACUUAAACACAGAACAAAAAAAAACCCCACCCAAAACACGAGAAAUAAUUGACACCAAAAACAGACUCACAGAGGAUCCAGGUCAUGAAGUUAUACACAUUUUAAAAUUUGUAAGCACACUAUGCCUUAAUGUGUUAAAGAAAAUAGAAGGCAAAAUGAGAAUUCAGCAGGAAAUUGAAAUCUUUCAGAAAGUAUCAUAUGGGAAUUUUAGAACAGAAAAGCACAAUAACUCAAUUAAAAACUCAGUGGGUAAGUUUCAGCAGAUUAGACAGAGAGAAUUACUGAACUGGAAGAUAGGUUAGGAGAAAAUAUAUAGAAUAAUUAGACUAAUAGCUGACUUUUUAACAGAAGCAAUGGAAGCAAGAAGACAGUGAAAUUACAUGGUUCAAGUACUGAAAGCAAUAAAUAAUAACUAAUGACCUACCUGUUGAAACCAUUCUUCAAUAAUUAGGGUGAAAUACAGAACUUUUUUGACAAAAGUUGAGAAAAUUAAUCACACUUAAAGAAAUACGAAAGGGUAUUCUUCAGGUGCAAAGAAAAUAAGCCUAAAUGGCAGACAGAUUCAGAAUCAAUGAAAAUAGUAAAUAUUUGGAAAAAUUCAAACGAAUAUGCUACAUUAAGCAAUAAUUAUAUAAUUUGGGAAGAGAAUUAAAUAAAAUAAAAAUGUUCUGAGCUCCUUGAAUGUCUGAGAAGAGGUAAGGUAAAAGUACUACAUUUAUAUUAGACUUUCAUAAGUUAAGGAUACAUAUCGUAUUACAAGGCUGCUUUGUUAACUGUGGUAGCCCCUAGGCACAUGUGGCUAUUGGCACUUAGAAAUGUGACCAGUCCUACUUCAGGUAUACUGUAAAUGUAAAAUAUACACCAGAUUUCAAAGACUUAGGGUAAGAAAAGAAAG
rnacentral:lncRNA from 1 species